rnacentral:rRNA from 1 species
CGGAAGUUUUCGGAUGGAAGCGAUAUGUUUUAGCGGCGGACGGGUGAGUAACGCGUGAGCAACCUUUCCUUCACAGGGGAAUAACGUACCGAAAGGUACACUAAUACCGCAUAAGGCCACAGCACCGCAUGGUGCAGGGGUGAGAGGAGCAAUCCGGUGAAGGGUGGGCUCGCGUCCGAUUAGCUAGUUGGUGAGGUAACGGCUCACCAAGGCGACGAUCAGUAGCCGGCUUGAGAGAGUGAACGGCCACAUUGGGACUGAGACACGGCCCAAACUCC